ensembl:lncRNA
CAAUGAGGGACGUCUGCAGCGACUGAGAAAGAGUCUCACCACAUCCUGACAUGAGGAAAAAGACUUUAUUGAAGACUACAAUGAGAAAAACUAUCAGACAGCAGACGGCUGCAUUCAAGCUGCUGAAUUCAUGGAUGAAUCAUCUGGCACUAGAGAAGAAGACCAUCAAACAUCCACGUCAGCUGAUGGAGGUCCAAGAGUCUCACCCAACAAACAACCUACAGAGUGAAGACCUCCAAUCUGAUUGGACGGCCUCCUAUUCAGCCACGUUUUAGGCUGUUAGAUUGUUCCAGACAAGUACAAGAUUCUUCAUAGCCGUUCUACCACGAGCCUGACAGGAAGAACUCCAACAGCUACUGAAUGUUCCUGUGGUCCCCUCA